rnacentral:rRNA from 1 species
CAUAGGCGGAUCUGAGGASGGUUCAUUCCCGGCCAUCUCUGGACCUCCGAUMCUCGCCCCAGACUCCUACGGGACGCAGCAGUAAUKGCAUUCUUCGGCAAUCGGSRGGCACCCUGACCGAGCACGCCGYUGGAGUGAAGUAUCUUUUUCAGCAUCCGUACAGCUCUGUUGUUAAAGAAMGAGCGAGUGUGAGAAUGGAUAGUUCCAUGCUGUGACGGUACUUAACCAGAAAGGGACGGCUAACUACGUSCCAGCAGCCGCGGUAAUAYGUAGGUCCCUAGCGUUGUCYGKAUUUAUKGGGCGUAAAGCSAGCGCAGKCGGUUAGAAAWGUCUGAAGUGAAAGGCASUSGCUCAACCAUUGUAGGCUUUGGAAACUGUUUAACUUGAGUGCAGAAGGGGAGAGUGGAMUUCCAUGUGUAGCGGUGAARUGCGUAGAUAUAUGGAGGAACACYGGUGGCGACAGCGGCUCUCUGGUCUGUAACUGACGCUGAGGCUCGAAAGCGUGGGGAGCGAACAGGAUUAGAUACCCUGGUAGUCCACGCCGUAAACGAUGAGUGCUAGGUGUUGGGUCCUUUCCGGGACUCAGUGCCGCAGCUAACGCAUUAAGCACUCCGCCUGGGGAGUACGACCGCAAGGUUGAAACUCAAAGGAAUUGACGGGGGCCCGCACMAGCGGUGGAGCAUGUGGUUUAAUUCGAAGCAACGCGAAGAACCUUACCAGGUCUUGACAUCCCGAUGCUAUUUCUAGAGAUAGGAAGUUUCUUCGGAACAUCGGUGACAGGUGGUGCAUGGUUGUCGUCAGCUCGUGUCGUGAGAUGUUGGGUUAAGUCCCGCAACGAGCGCAACCCUUAUUGUUAGUUGCCAUCAUUAAGUUGGGCACUCUAGCGAGACUGCCGGUAAUAAACCGGAGGAAGGUGGGGAUGACGUCAAAUCAUCAUGCCCCUUAUGACCUGGGCUACACACGUGCUACAAUGGCUGGUACAACGAGUCGCAAGCCGGUGACGGCAAGCUAAUCUCUGAAAGCCAGUCUCAGUUCGGAUUGUAGGCUGCAACUCGCCUACAUGAAGUCGGAAUCGCUAGUAAUCGCGGAUCAGCACGCCGCGGUGAAUACGUUCCCGGGCCUUGUACACACCGCCCGUCACACCACGAGAGUUUGUAAUCAUGCSKAWGAUCGSUGACKGYARYAAGWMGAACCCAGSAGCCGUGGAGUACACGAUCUAGAUUC